GGAAUCCGGCAGGACCAUCUGCCAAGGCUAAAUACUCCCUGGCGACCGAUAGCGAAGCAGUACCGUGAGGGAAAGGUGAAAAGCACCGCGGGAGCGGAGUGAAACAGAACCUGAAACCGUGCGCUUACAAGAAGUCAGAGCCCGAUCUAGGGGUGAUGGCGUGCCUUUUGUAGAAUGAACCGGCGAGUUACGUUCACGUGCAAGGUUAAGGCGGGAAGCCGGAGCCGAAGCGAAAGCGAGUCUGAAUAGGGCGCUUGAGUACGUGGGCGUAGACCCGAAACCGUGUGAUCUACCCCUGUCCAGGGUGAAGGUGCGGUAACACGCACUGGAGGCCCGAACCCACGCACGUUGAAAAGUGCGGGGAUGAGGUGGGGGUAGCGGAGAAAUUCCAAUCGAACUCGGAAAUAGCUGGUUCUCCCCGAAAUAGCUUUAGGGCUAGCCUCGGUGUAAGAGUCAUGGAGGUAGAGCACGGAUUGGGUGCGGGGCCCGCCAAGGGUUACCAAGUCCAGUCAAACUCCGAAUGCCAUUGACUUAUAACCGGGAGUCAGACAGUGAGUGCUAAGAUCCAUUGUCAAGAGGGAAACAGCCCAGACCAUCAGCUAAGGUCCCCAAGUGUGUGUUAAGUGGGAAAGGAUGUGGAGUUGCACAGACAACCAGGAUGUUGGCUUAGAAGCAGCCACCAUUUAAAGAGUGCGUAAUAGCUCACUGGUCGAGUGACUCUGCGCCGAAAAUGUAACGGGGCUAAACACGCCACCGAAGCUAUGGCUACGCAGCAAUGCGUGGGGUAGGGGAGCGUCGAAUACGCAUCGAAGGUAUACCGUAAGGAGUGCUGGAGUGUAUUCGAGUGAGAAUGCCGGUAUAAGUAACGAAAAGACAAGUGAGAAUCUUGUCCGCCGAAAGCCUAAGGGUUCCUGAGGAAGGCUCGUCCGCUCAGGGUAAGUCGGGACCUAAGGCGAGGCCGAAAGGCGUAGUCGAAGGACAACAGGUUGAUAUUCCUGUACCACCGCAAGCCGUUACGAGCGAUGGGGUGACGCAGCAGGGAAGUGACGCGGACUGAUGGAAUAGUCCGUCCAAGCAGUGAGGCCGGUUGGCAGGCAAAUCCGCCAAUCAUGAAGGCUGGGCUGUGAUGGGGAGGGAAAAUAAGAGUACCGAAGGUCAUGCACUCACACUGCCGAGAAAAGCCUCUAGCCAGGCGAAGGUGCCCGUACCGCAAACCGACACAGGUAGGCGAGCAGAGCAUGCUAAGGCGCGCGGAAGAACUCUCGUUAAGGAACUCGGCAAAAUGACCCCGUAACUUCGGGAGAAGGGGUGCCUCGGUAGGGUGAAUAGCCCGAGGGGGCCGCAGUGAAAAGGCCCAAGCGACUGUUUAGCAAAAACACAGGUCUGUGCGAAGCCGCAAGGCGAAGUAUACGGGCUGACGCCUGCCCGGUGCUGGAAGGUUAAGGGGAGCGGUUAGGGUCAAACCGAAGCUGUGAACUGAAGCCCCAGUAAACGGCGGCCGUAACUAUAACGGUCCUAAGGUAGCGAAAUUCCUUGUCAGGUAAAUUCUGACCCGCACGAAUGGCGUAACGACUUGGGCGCUGUCUCAACGAGAGAUCCGGUGAAAUUUUAAUACCUGUGAAGAUGCAGGUUACCCGCGACAAGACGGAAAGACCCCAUGGAGCUUUACUGCAGCUUGAUAUUGGACUUUGGUACGAUCUGUACAGGAUAGGUGGGAGCCUGGGAAGUGGGAGCGCAAGCUUCGAUGGAGGCGCCGUUGGGAUACCACCCUGAUCGUAUCGGAGUUCUAACCUGCUACCGUGAAACCGGUAGAGGGACCGUGUCAGGCGGGCAGUUUGACUGGGGCGGUCGCCUCCUAAAGUGUAACGGAGGCGCCCCAAGGUUCCCUCAGAAUGGUUGGAAAUCAUUCGAAGAGUGCAAAGGCAUAAGGGAGCUUGACUGCGAGACCAACAAGUCGAGCAGGGACGAAAGUCGGGCUUAGUGAUCCGGUGGUACCGCAUGGAAGGGCCAUCGCUCAACGGAUAAAAGCUACCCUGGGGAUAACAGGCUUAUCUCCCCCAAGAGUCCACAUCGACGGGGAGGUUUGGCACCUCGAUGUCGGCUCAUCGCAUCCUGGGGCUGAAGUAGGUCCCAAGGGUUGGGCUGUUCGCCCAUUAAAGCGGUACGCGAGCUGGGUUCAGAACGUCGUGAGACAGUUCGGUCCCUAUCUGUCGCGGGCGCAGGAAAUUUGAGAGGAGCUGUCCUUAGUACGAGAGGACCGGGAUGGACGUACCGCUGGUGUACCAGUUGUUCCGCCAGGAGCACCGCUGGGUAGCCAAGUACGGACGGGAUAAGCGCUGAAAGCAUCUAAGCGUGAAGCCCCCCUCAAGAUGAGAUUUCCCAAUCCGUAAGACCCCUGGUAGACGACCAGGUUGAUAGGUUCGGGGUGGAAGCGCAGCAAUGCGUGCAGCUGACGAAUACUAAUCGGUCGAGGGCUUAUCCUAA
rnacentral:rRNA from 1 species